UACAGAGGCCCCGAGCGUUAAUCGGAAUUACUGGGCUUAAAGGGUGCGUAGGCGGACCAGAAAGUGCUUUGUGAAAUCCCACGGCUCAACCGUGGAACUGCUUGGCAUACUGGCGGUCUUGAGCAACCUAGGGGCGAGCGGAACAAAUGGUGGAGCGGUGAAAUGCGUAGAUAUCAUUUGGAACGCCAAUGGUGAAAACAGCUCGCUGGGGGUUUGCUGACGCUGAGACGCGAAAGCGUGGGGAGCAAACAGG
rnacentral:rRNA from 1 species